GCCUACGGGGCGCAGCAGUGAGGAAUAUUGGUCAAUGGGCGAGAGCCUGAACCAGCCAAGUCGCGUGAGGGAAGACGGUCCUAUGGAUUGUAAACCUCUUUUGUCGGGGAGCAAAAAGGCCUCGUGAGGCCACAAGUGAGAGUACCCGAAGAAAAAGCAUCGGCUAACUCCGUGCCAGCAGCCGCGGUAAUACGGAGGAUGCGAGCGUUAUCCGGAUUUAUUGGGUUUAAAGGGUGCGCAGGCGGAUUUUUAAGUCAGCGGUCAAAUCGUGGGGCUCAACCCCAUCCAGCCGUUGAAACUGGGGG
rnacentral:rRNA from 1 species